rnacentral:rRNA from 1 species
GUAGUCCACGCCGUAAACUAUGAUCACUCGUUGUUGGCAAUACAUCGUCAGCGACUGAGCGAAAGCAUUAAGUGAUCCACCUGGGGAGUACGGUCGCAAGAUUGAAACUCAAAGGAAUUGACGGGGGCCCGCACAAGCGGAGGAACAUGUGGUUUAAUUCGAUGAUACGCGAGGAACCUUACCUGGGCUUAAAUGCAGGACGACGGAUCGGGAAACCGGUCCUUCCUUCGGGACGGACUGCAAGGUGCUGCAUGGUUGUCGUCAGCUCGUGCCGUGAGGUGUCGGGUUAAGUCCCAUAACGAGCGCAACCCUUAUCGUUAGUUGCCAGCGGGUCAUGCCGGGGACUCUAACGAAACUGCCGGUGUAAACCGAGAGGAAGGUGGGGAUGACGUCAAAUCAGCACGGCCCUUAUGUCCAGGGCUACACACGUGUUACAAUGGUCGGUACAAAGGGCAGCUACCUGGCAACAGGAUGCAAAUCUCGAAAACCGAUCUCAGUUCGGAUUGGAGUCUGCAACUCGACUCCAUGAAGCUGGAUUCGCUAGUAAUCGCGCAUCAGCCAUGGCGCGGUGAAUACGUUCCCGGGCCUUGUACACACCGCCCGUCAAGCCAUGGAAGCCGGGGGUACCUGAAGUCUGUAACCGCAAGGAGCGGCCUAGGGUAAAACUGGUGACUGGGGCU